AAAGAUUCAUCGGACCCAAGAUAACAUUGAUGAAGAAACAAGCAUCAAAGAUGUGGCUGUCUGGCCUGUCUCUACUAUAUCCUAAAAUUUUCUUACCGGCGCUAUAGAGAUCAUAGAUGUUGGCUAAAGCUGACAAACUGACAAAGUAGUAAUCCAUUCAGCUGAGGGCUAAAGCAUCCGAAUAAUAUAGCUAACCUACAGUUACAGUAGAUGUACAGCAUUAGCAGCAGGCCAAUACAUACGAUAAAUACAAUAACCUUGGAAAGAGUACAAAUUUUAAUCGUCAACUCGUCAAGUGAUUUAUGCAUUACAGCUAAUAUCUUGCUUUUUUCUUUUUUUUUUUUUUUUUUUUUUUUGAAUAAAAAGAAAUGAUUAAUUUCAUCACACGAUGCUUCUAAAGGGGAUCGUCAAUAUCUACAUUGUGUGGUACACCCAACCGUAGUUACAUCUGUAAAUGCAUACAGAACAGUAGAAGUUCAUUUGGUAUUCACUUACAAACCUGAAUCAACUGUCACCAAACAAAAGUUUUGGUGCCUGCAAUAACAACUUAGAAUUUUGGUUCGCCAAAGUAGACAUGCGUCAUUUCGUAUCGACUAAAGAUAAAGCAGGCAAAUCAAAAUAUUACUGAUAAUACCAACAUUGGAUAAUUUCAUUGGACGUCAUUUAUUUUCAUCAACGUCCUAAUAAGUACUACAAAAGAAUAACUGCGCUCUUAUAAAAGAAUAACUGCACCCUUUAAUUUAGAUUCCUUGCUCCACCCCUGGUAAACAAAUGUUUUGGCAAUGGUAUUGAAUCACAUUGUGCUUUAAGGGCGAAUAAACAAAAUUCGCAUAACACUUGAGCUGAAAGAUGUACAUAAAUCAGAUCUUAAUUAACCAGCUUCCACUCAGACAAUUCCAGAGUUUAUUUUUUUUGAGAUCAUAGUAUAAAUAUAUUAAUCAUCUGAAUCCAAAUUACAUGCCUGAUCAGCGUGCUUAAAUGCAUCGUCAGGUAUAAAAGAACAUCAAAGACAACAAACAAAACAAAACUGUAAUGAAACCUGUGUUGCUGCAUCAUUCCCUGCGAAGUCCUGCUGUGGUGCUGCCGAGUCUUCAACCCUAUACCUGUUGCUUCUUCCCAACCUAUUCAGCUCUUGAAUCAACUGCCAACUUAUCCUUGCCUAUUCUGCCAUCAGACAAUUCCAGAGUUGUGACAUUGUUGAGAGCUUUGAGAAAUGUAAGCAGACGCUGAGUAGGCAAUCAAGAACAAAUACCAAUUUAGUUCUAACGAGAGAGUAAAGACUCUCCAUAGAAAAGUUGUCCUACAAAUGACACCAUCAAACUCUAGGAAUAGAGUAGAGACAUUGAUCUUACAAGAACCAUUACAACAUUGGAUCCAAUCCCUAAUUGUUCCUAUCACCAAGCUCUUAUCCAAAUUCAUGAGAUAUCCAUAUAAACAAUCUAUCAUAAUUAAAUUCUCUAAAACUAGGCAUCUCAGUACUAAUUCCACAUUGGAAUCACCAAUUGGUAACCUAGUUGAAAUGGAUUGGUAGCUGAACAACUGAACAUUUCUGGUUAUCGACAUAAAGAGGAAUUGAGGCAGUACAAUGGAAUCCCAAAAAGUGAGAAAAAGGUUAAGUUCUUGAACAUGUCUAAUAAAUGCAAUACUAACCCAUGUAUUAACUCCACAUUUUCUACAGCUAGUUGCAUGAUCUAAUCUAAAGAUAGAGAAAAUUUAUGUAAAUGCAAAAUCUGAUCUACAAAAUCCAUAAACAAUCUUUAUUUAUUCUUCAUUAGUAGUUCUUCACAUUGGAAAAUAUUGAAUUUAAGAUUGGGAACUAGAAAUACCUUUAUUUAGUUAGCAAAGUAUAUGAUGUAGUAGCUAGACAUUCAUUCACCAUCGUGAUCGCUGGCGACGACGGGGAGGGUUUCUAUAGCAGCAGAAGAAGGAGAUGAGUAGAACUAGAAAAACAAGAAGAGGAAUAGAUAUAAUGAGAUUGGGAGGUAAAGCAGGGAGAAAUGAGAAAUAUACACACAAGAACACCAAGUAGAGAAUUGCAAGAACAAGACCAGCACACACACAAGAACACAUAUCUCAGGCACUCUUGGAGUGCCAAACUUCUUCCAAAAUUUCUCUUGGUGUGGUAGUGUCGGUAGCAAUAUUUGACAACUAAUUUCAGUUUUAUUAGUUAAUUAGUGUCAACUGUCAAGCCAGUAAAGAUGGACUGGGACCUUUCGUAUCCACAAACAAUUAGUAACAUGUUUUGCUGAUUGAUGAGACUGAUCAAAU
rnacentral:lncRNA from 1 species